GAUCUCUCAUUUUACACCUAGGACACAGGUUUAGAGAGGUCCUCUGACUUGCUCACGGCUACGCAGCUAGUUCGGGACCUCAUUUUCUCUUUCCUUUUGGCAGAAGUUUAAUUCUGUCUGGUUGAAACUGUGGGGACCCUGAGGAAUUUGGCAGGAGCUGUUGACUCUACCUCCUGGAUCCUGCCAGAGCCACAGGAUGCUGUGAAUGUGCACGGCUUGGAACGUUCCCACCUUCCGUUAGGGGCUCAGAUCCAGAGGAGUGACUCACGCUUCUCAGAUGUAGGAACAGAAAUGUUGCGGCUGCACUGAAAGGUAUGCGGAAGGAAAUCAGCAGACGCCUGAACUUCAGCCAGGGGGACGAGCAAGGAUGACCGCACAGGCCCCAGUGCGGCAGGAGGGGGGAGCCCCUCCUCUGGCCUUCUGGAAGAGGCCGAGGCAUCCAGCUUGGGUUCAAAUCCCAACUCUGCCUCCCGGAUGCUGGGGGACAUUGGGCAAGUCACUUGGCUUGUCUGAUCCUUUGUUUUCUCAUCCUUUAAAUGAGGAUAAUAUCUCUCUUGCAAGUUGUUGUAAAGAUUGUGAUAUUUUAUAUAAACAUAAGUAUACAUACAUAUA